AUGUGGCAACCCUGUUCCAGUUUCCACACCAGGGUCUACCCUCCGGGGGUGGGGUGGGGCUGCGGGCAGGGGCUGCCCAGAGGGAGGCGGGGUGCGCAGGCCUGCGGGAGGGUGGGACGGGAGGUGCCAGCUGCCCCUCCCCAACUCAUUCCCUCCACCGAAAGCCCCGUGUCCUGGGGACCCAGCGUCCACGCCUACGCAGCCCGAAGCCACGGGCUGGUCAAAGUGUCCGUGGCACUGAAGUGGACUCCACACUGUGCUGACCACCUGGUGCCUACCUGCUCAUACCUUCAGCGUAACUCCCCUCCCCGCCGCUGCCCCCACCUGGGCAGCCCUCGGGCCUCAGACUCAGCCAUUAGGCCUGGCCUGCCGCAUACUUGUGCAUCUGCUGCGCCGUCCGACAAGAGGGGGCUGACUCCCCAAAUGAGACCCCCAGUACUGACCGCCCCAGUAGACCAAGGGCAGAAGAAUGAGGGGGGACAGAGGAGGGGUGAUGGAAGCAGAACGGACGGAGAAAGGGGGGAGCCAGGAAGGUGGAGAACGGAGAAGAGGGAGGACGGGGGUGGGGGGGGGAGAGGACAGAGGAGGAAGGAAGAUGGAGGAGGGGAGGACGGGGGGGGAGGACAGAGGAGGAAGGAAGAUGGAGGAGGGGAGGACAGGGGGGAGGACAGAGGAGGAAGGAAGAUGGAGGAGGGGAGAACGGGGGUGGGGGGAGGACAGAGGAGGAAGGAAGAUGGAGGAGGGGGAGGACGAAGGAGAGGGGACGGAGAAAGCGGGGACGGAGGAGGAGCAGGGCAGAGGACCCGCGCAGAGGAGGGGAACAGAGGCGCAGAGUUUAGAAGAUUCCAGGCCGUCCUUGGGCCGGCUGGGCGCGCGCACAGGAGUGACGGGGCAGCACGUCGUGCCAGCCGUGGUGCAGGGCCACGUGCCCACGUGUUGUGGUCAGGGGUUCGGGGCGCGCAGCGCGGGGGGCAGCAGCGCCGGGUCCAGCCGGCAGUGGUGCGCGGGCAACUCGGUGAGCAGCGGCUCCGAGCCCCGCGCCACCCCCAGCGCCACCCCCAGCGCCAUCCCCAGCAGCCGCGAGGCGGCGGCCAGCAAGCGCCGGGUCGCGCGGAGCCGAACGAAGCCGCCGCCGCGCGCAGGACCAGCACCUGCGCCUCCCUCGGCGGCCUGGCGCUCAGGCCGGCCCGGCGGGGCGAGGGGCGGGGCCGUGUAGGGCGGGGCCGGUGCCAGGGUCCUGGGCCUUGGGGUGGGACUGGGAGGGGCGUGGCGCGGGGGCGUGGUCGAGGAGGUCAUCCUGGUGUGGGGGCGUGGUCAGAGGGGCGUCCUGGUUGGGGGCCUGGUGGUGGGCGGGCGCCUUGGGGCGGGGACGAGGUCGGGGGUGCUGACCUGCGCGGCUGGUCAGGGGCGUCUGGACAGCGGGUCGCAGAGGAGCCCUUCCCAGCGGCCUCUGGGCCUCCGACUCCCUGA
rnacentral:lncRNA from 1 species